CAAGUUUCACAACAUCCUUCUGAUAGGAUGGAGACCAGAAUUGCACGCAAAAUUCCAAAAGUGGCCUAAGCAAUGUCAUCAGGCAUUGUUACCACCAAAAUGGAGCAGGCUGAUCACUCUCAGGCGAUCACCCUCCUCUCUAACCUUACAACCUCUGUCAGCGCCUAAAAUCCUUCAACAACUCCACAAUUAGCGAGUUUUGUGAAGAUUAAUAGCUCAGGUUGAGGUUCUGGAUGUAGGUUUGUUUGCUGAGCUGGAAGGUUCAUUUCCAAAUGUUUCGUCACCAUAUUAGGGAACAUCUUCAGUUGGCCUCAGGCAAAGAUGUUACCUAGUAUGGUGAUGAAACAUCUGGAAAUGAACCUUCCAGCUCAGCGAGCAAACCUACAUCCAAAGCUCCACAAUUCUACGUUCUGACCUCUCAUGUAUCACACAGUCUCUUUGCUCCCUCAGCAGUGUUGACCUUAAACUUUGCAAUUUUCUCCCGCAACUUCUUCACCUGUCUCUCUUUACUCCUAAGACACACCCAAGAAUCUACCUCUUUGUCCAUGGACUACGUUUGUGGUUCCCCAACCAGCGUAACCAUCCUCCCAGCAACUUGCGUGUGGCCACCCUGGGUAGACUUUUCUGCAUUUCAAUCAGGAACAAGUGAGGACUGCAGAUGUUGAGAUCAGAGUCAAAAAGUGUGCCUCUUUCUGUUUCUGAUGGUGGAUGGACUUUAUUAAAAUAAAUGUUUGCUGAAUUAA